UACGUAGGUGGCGAGCGUUGUCCGGAUUUACUGGGCGUAAAGGGAGCGUAGGCGGAUUUUCAAGUGAGAUGUGAAAUACUCGGGCUCAACUUGAGUGCUGCAUUUCAAACUGGAAGUCUAGAGUGCAGGAGAGGAGAAUGGAAUUCCUAGUGUAGCGGUGAAAUGCGUAGAGAUUAGGAAGAACACCAGUGGCGAAGGCGAUUCUCUGGACUGUAACUGACGCUGAGGCUCGAAAGCGUGGGGAGCAAACAGG
rnacentral:rRNA from 1 species